rfam:Oryza sativa (indica cultivar-group) chromosome 1, whole genome shotgun sequence.
AAAAAAUACAGUUUUGCAUUGUUCAUAUUCAACGUUUGACUAUUCGUUUUAUUUGAAUUUUUUUAUGAUUAGUAUUUUUAUUAUUAUUAGAUGAUAGAACAUAAAUAAUACUUUAUAUGUGACUAUUUUUUUUAUAAAUUUUUCAAAUAAGAUGGAUAGUCAAAUGUUGGACACGGAUACCCACGGCUGCACUUAUU